UCAGUAAAAUAACCAUCAGCCAUCCCACUAAACAAAAAUACACUCUGCUCCGACAGUCAAUGAGGGGGUCAACGUUAAAUUAAAACCUUUUUCAAUCUAGAAGAAUGUCCCAAGCACUCUGGUCAAAACUAACAGCAAUCUAACAUUCAUCCAAUCAGUUUACAUAAUAUAAUCAUAUUUUUAACACAAAGUGAUCUUUAUUUGACAUGAAUACAUGUAGAGAAGGUGUCACCACAGUGGUUCUACUUGACCUUUGAAACUAAAACUCACAUUCACCUGCCGCUCCUCUUCCUGGGUCCUCAUGGUCUCCACAGAGCCAGUAUAGUAGAAGGUCUUCUCCUGUCUCAUUCAGUCCUUGGUGCCACUCUAGCUGGAGGUGGAGCUUGACAGGCAGCACAUCAGAAACAAUCUGUCAACACAACAGCUUCUAGACUCUUGAUUGUUGCUGCUUGACAACAUCUGCUUGUUCCAGUAUUAGCUAUGCAGAUCUUCAUGUUAGUGGUUUUAUUCACUGGGUUUACUGGUGACAGUUAUCAGCAAUCCAUCCACUCAAUCCAGGACAGUCCAGUCCAGGCUCCACAAGGAGACGGCGUGACUCUCUCCUGCAACUACUCUUCAGCAACAUCCUUCUUCUGGUAUCGGCAGUACCCCAGCUCACCUCCCCAGUUCCUUAUCAAAGAAUACAUGGAGCUAUCUGGAUUUACCUUGAAAAAGGACAGUGAUAAAAAAAUGUUCCAUCUGGAGAUCUCCGCUGCUGCCGUGACAGACUCUGCUCUGUACUACUGUGCUGUGCAGCCCACAGUGACAGGAAACACAGACUCCCUGUACAAAAACCUGACAAGGAACUUGAAGAGCAUUUGUCAUUACCUUAAACUGUGGUUCAGGGGAGGCGCAUCUGGAGAGGUGAAUUCACACCAGGAGUCUAGUGAAUAAACAGUAUUUUACAACAGAGAUACAGAGGUAGCAUGUUGAGCUCCAGGGUUCCCAUGGUGUUUGAAAUUAUGUCAAUCCUCUUUUCAAGUCACAGCCCACCAGAAAUUCUAAAGAUUAAAGGGAACUUGUAUAGCCAUGGCAACAUGUUUACAUAUUAACCUUAUCUUUACUGGUGUUUACAGUGUGGACCUCACUCCUGUCAAGCAGAAAGAGAACAGAUUAGUCGGUACAAGUGUUUCUCUGUCCUACAAGCUCUCUAAAACUGCUACAGGGAGCGAUUAUUUUUUCUGGUACCGUCAGUAUCCUGGAGAACCUCCACAGUUCCUGCUGUGCAUCUCAGGGUUUGGUAACAACAGAACAGCUGAGUCUCUUGGUUCAGACAAAAGGUUUUCCACUGAACUGACUGAAGAGAAGACUGGAGUGGAUCUGAAGAUCUCCUCUGUUGCAGUGACUGACUCUGCUCUGUACUACUGUGCUCUGCAGCCCACAGUGACAGGAAACAUAGGCUCGCUGUACAAAAACCUGCUGAGCACAAAACAAUCUUUCAACUCCCCCUGA